UACGGAGGGUGCAAGCGUUAAUCGGAAUUACUGGGCGUAAAGCGUGCGUAGGCGGUUCGUUAAGUCUGUUGUGAAAGCCCCGGGCUCAACCCGUGGGAAUGGCAAUGGAUACUGGCGAGCUAGAGUGUGAUAGAGGAUGGUGGAAUUCCCGGUGUAGCGGUGAAAUGCGUAGAGAUCGGGAGGAACAUCAGUGGCGAAGGCGGCCAUCUGGAUCAACACUGACGCUGAGCACGAAAGCGUGGGGAGCAAACAGGGA
rnacentral:rRNA from 1 species